CAAAGUUCCCCAAAGUUCUUUAAUGGAACUGAUAAAUCUAUCAGCACAGCAGCCAUUUAGAAACUAGAUUUCUGUGACCGAAUAUACACAGACCUGGGAAGGAAAGCCAUGUGAGGACAGAAGCAGAGAUCAGAAUGAUGCAGCUACAAGUCACGGAACAGAAGAAAGAACUCUCAGGAGGAGGUGAUAUUUAUGACGAGGUCUGAAAAAUGUCAAGCUGAUUUGGAGGAGCUGGCUUUGAAAGGAUAUUCUUUAACUUGCGGUAAAGAAGUCAUGUUGAAGAGCAAGUUACUUUGGAGCCUUCUUCCCUAAACCAAGAGCAGCAGAGAAUAAUUUCAUUCUACCACUGAUAUUUUAGGACCAAUGAAAUUACUAUGAAUUCUGGGACCCUGAGCAAACUUUGUGCAGCAUCUAAAAAUGAGACAAUUUUACAUCAACCAAAACAAAAACAAGUAUAUACAGUGCCUGGGACAGGAUCUGUCUUCAAUACUUCAAUACUAGAGACAGCUGCUUCAGGAAAAUACCUUUAAAAAGGCUAAAACAGCAUUAAAAACAACAAUGCAACUAGAACAAGACCGCGAAACCCUUUCCUCACUCUAUUUGUGGAAAACAAAUAAUUAAAAUAUUAAGGAAGCACAUACUUCCAUAAGAAAUUGAAGUUAUCUACAGAGGAUGUCUCUUAUUUUUCAGUGAACUCAGCUUGCUACCACAUGCCUGUGCUUUUCCUUGUCUAUGUAUAGCAUGAGUUCCAAAGCAAGUUGUGACAUAAAUAAAUCACGUUCUAAGCUA